CUGUUUGGUUCUCUUUUUUGUCGGCCUAGGUGCUUUAUCGGUUCUGUUUAUAUUUGGUUAGUUGUGUUUUUAUGUUUGGUUAUGUCUUUCGGUUUAACUUGUCGACAAUGUAUCGGUUGGCUGAUUUUACGGACGAGAAAACGUGUACGGUACUAUAAUUUAAAAGCAUUGUUUUUACGUAGAAAAAACAAAUAGGUUGUGCAUAGUUGAAAGAGGGAGACAAAUCGAGUCUCAAGUAAGAGGGAAGAGGCUUACGAUGAAAGAAAAAAUUCUUUCAAAAGAAUUAAUA
rnacentral:lncRNA from 1 species